UGGGCUGCUCCAGGAAAGGGCCCAUCGACUUCUCUGGCAAAAAAAUCCCCCAGCCUGUCACCGUGAGUUUCCCCGUUGUAGAGCUAAACUACAAUUGAUGUUCUGUCUCUAUCAAUUUCUCAGGAAUGCUGGGACGUGAGCCCAGUAUUAAUGAAGACAGCAGAGAGGAAGGCAUGAGACUGGCUCCGCUCCAGAGCUGACGGAGAGCGUGGAUCCUGAGUAAUUCCUGGAGACCCGGAGAGGCCCGAACGAGGCAAAACAAGCGGGCCCUGGGGUCACACACAAGGCUCGGUGGGGCAGACAGAUGCCAAAAAGGCUCGAGAGAAUUUCUGCUGGGAAAAAAUAGCCUCAACCUCGUCCCUUUUAUCACCACGUAUCAUUUGCAUCAUCUGAGAAAGGCAAUUUUACUCCAGAUUAAAAGGACAUCCUCCUAGGAUGUGGCUCUCUGAGGAUGUGGAAAAUACAACAAGCUCCAUGGGUGCCCAAAGUAACCCAACGGUGAUGGUGGGACAGCUAGAGCAUUGCAGAGAAACACACCCGCCUCACAAAUUCUCAGGAGAAUCAAAAUAAAUAAAUGGAAAGCACUGCCUGUGUUUAAUAAAGGAGCUCAGUAAAGGA